GCAAGUCGAACGGCAGCAAUUCGGUUGGCGAGUGGCGCACGGGUGAGUAACGCGUACAGACCUGCCUUGUACUGGAGGAUAGCCCCGGGAAACUGGGAGUAAUACUCCAUAGUAUCGAAAGAUUAAAGCUCCGGCGGUACAAGAUGGCUGUGCGUCUGAUUAGCUAGUUGGUGAGGUAACUGCUCACCAAGGCUCCGACGGGUAGCUGGUCUGAGAGGACGAUC
rnacentral:rRNA from 1 species